CACAUCAAAUUGGACAUUACAACAUUUCUGAGGAAAAAUCAACCAAAUGUUCUAUUCAUUCCACGGAAUUACACACUACAGAAAAUAAAUCGAUGUCAGGCGCACACUUUCCAAAAGAAAUAAACGAAAGUGUCUCUACCACAUGUGUCGACAGUUCUACAGAAGACGAAAGACCAAAAAACAAAGCUCAUGAACAACACCAUCAUACUAAUAUUGGCAAGAAAAUUCGUAGUCAUUUCCACAUAUACAGAUUUUCAUACAUGUUUAUGCUAAUAUCUUUUUUGGCACUGCUGUCAUAUAUUCCUCCAACAGUUUUAAUUUUAAUUGAAUCAAGAAAUGAUAGCUUUUGGAACAACAUGUCACAAAAUAAACUGCUCUUGCUUUUGUUCCUGCGACGCCUGUAUAUGCUUAAUAACAUAGUGAAUCCAUUCGUUUAUGGAUUGUUUGAUACGGCAUUCAAGAAAGAACUUAAGAAAAUAUGCUCAAGCUGGUCGUUCCCAAAGCUUAAUUUCUAAAUGGAUGGCCUCAGUCCCCGUUAAGCCUAGCACGCUGCUCAUAAUAAGUUAGAGAAUGAUUUAAAAAAUCUAAUUACCGAGAUCAUUUAUGAGAUCGCUUCAACAUUUACAAAGUAUUAAAAUGUGAAAUCUUACGGAACCAUUUUAAACCAAAUUGAUCUUUUAAAAGUAUUUGAAAAUGUCAUUCCUUCAGAAAAAACCCCAGUUUUAUUUGAUUUCAAUUUUUGAAGUUCGUAUUUGGACUCAAACUGCAUUGUUAACUUGAGAUAUCUGACAAUAGCUUAGGUUUAGGGACCAUGUAUCAAUUUCGAAAUUCAUAUCAUACAUUUGUCCUCUAAAAGUAUGAAGACCCACUGGACGGUAUUUUAGGUAGCGGCUGUGAUAUUACGGUUCCCGUACGAUAAGGAUUAAAAAAGAGUAAUAAACAUUUUAAGAAGGCCACUCUGCAACCUAGACACAAUCUAAAUAUUUUACUUUAUGAGCAAAACAUGAUAUUUUUCUUUACUUGAAAGAAUGACUCUAAACGUACAUUUCGUUACACCAUUCUUUUGACAAAUUGCUGUUGUUAUUCUACGUUUUGUUUAGAACUUUAUACAAUGAAUAUAUUAAGAUAACUAAUUGAUACACC
rnacentral:lncRNA from 1 species